GAACACUGCCACAAGAGAGACCUCAGGGACACAACCUUCAAAGCUGAGAAGUGUAAGGGGGAGAAUUAGAGAGCAGCUGGAGUGCAAAGUAUAUCAGCAAAUACUACAGGAGGAGGAGUGCAUGUGUCCUGAAUACAAAUUUCAAAGGAGAACUAGAGAAGGACAACUGGACAGUCCAGGAAACACAGACUGGACACGAGCAGUGCAGAGAGAAGGGAUUUUGCAGCAGAACGUGAUUGUAGAACUGGAGGCAAGAGAUGUCCCCUGAAGUUGUAAUAAUUGCACAGAGGCA